CCGUUUCCUCUGCCUUACAGUUGGUUACACCAAAAUCUUGUAAUUUUUCUGGCAUUUUCUUUAAAAAAAAUAGAAAGAAAGCUGACACUUUCUGUACAGAAUUAAUGAAAACUUUUGUAGAGAGUAAAAGGAUUUUUCUGCCAACUUAUUCCAUGGUCCACAUAAAAGACUGAGAGACACUUGACUUUGGAACAAUUUGACAAGUGGAGACUUCACUGUUGGGUAGAUGACUAGUUAAGCUUGGCGAUUUAAGCGGUAACAUCCCAUUUGAUAUGGCAACUUCAGACAUAUUAAGUAGGAAACCUUCUGGUGGAAGCUGUCCAAAUCUGAGUACAAGUUUAAGGUGUAAAACCAUGAGAGGACUAUAUGUUAGAGUCAAUCGAGGUUUUUGUAGAUUGAAAACCGAGGCACAGAUAAAUUGACGAAAUGAGUAGACAGACAGACGAAGAGGGCUGUACGCUGGGUGUCAAGUCUCGCAGGAACCAAAUUGCACUGCCAGACCCAGUGUACAUCCUGAUAGAGCACUAUUCAUCUGCGGUCAUCGGCCUCUUUCCCUCCCAAAUCAGAGCAGGAGUUUGGUAUUGAUUGUCAUACAAAAUAACACAUCCCACUGAUAUUUUCUUGGUUUUUAAAUUGUGACUUACAUUAUAUACUUCCAGUCAAGUGUCACUUUCUAUCAUCCAUUUGGUUGGUAGUGUGAAUGCAUAAUUUAUUGUCUGCUAAUAAUGUAGGCAUUGUAGUAACUGUACAUUUUG